GACGAACGCUGGCGGCGUGCUUAACACAUGCAAGUCGAACGGAAAGGCCCUGCUUUUGUGGGGUGCUCGAGUGGCGAACGGGUGAGUAACACGUGAGUAACCUGCCCUUGACUUUGGGAUAACUUCAGGAAACUGGGGCUAAUACCGGAUAGGAGCUCCUGCUGCAUGGUGGGGGUUGGAAAGUUUCGGCGGUUGGGGAUGGACUCGCGGCUUAUCAGCUUGUUGGUGGGGUAGUGGCUUACCAAGGCUUUGACGGGUAGCCGGCCUGGGCGGGUGACCGGCCACAUUGGGCCUGAGAUACGGCCCAGACUCCUACGGGAGGCAGCAGUGGGGAAUAUUGCACAAUGGGCGGAAGCCUGAUGCAGCAACGCCGCGUGCGGGAUGACGGCCUUCGGGUUUUAAACCGCUUUCGCCUGUGACGAAGCGUGAGUGACGGUAAUGGGUAAAGAAGCACCGGCUAACUACGUG
rnacentral:rRNA from 1 species